rnacentral:rRNA from 1 species
CCUACGGGUGACAGCAGUGGGGGAUAUUGCACAAUGGGGGAAACCCUGAUGCAGCAACGCCGCGUGUGGGAAGAAGGUUUUCGGAUUGUAAACCACUGUUCUUGGUGAAGAUAAUGACGGUAACCAAGGAGAAAGCUCCGGCUAACUACGUGCCAGCAGCCGCGGUAAUACGUAGGGAGCAAGCGUUGUCCGGAUUUACUGGGUGUAAAGGGUGCGUAGGCGGUCUUGCAAGUCAGACGUGAAAACCACAGGCUCAACCUGUGGACUGCGUUUGAAACUGUGGGGCUUGAGUGAAGUAGAGGUAGGAGGAAAUGCCGGUGGAGCGGUGAAAGGCGUAGAGAUCGGGAGGAACAACAGGGGCGAAGGCGGGCUACUGGGCGUUAAAUGACGCGGGGGUACGAAAGCAUGGGUAGCAAACAGGAUUAGAUACACGGGUAGUG